AUGGUAUCAGAUGCUCCCAAUCUGAUCAACCCCUUUUCACAGAUUCCCGAUCCUGCUUCCGCUGCAGCCAUGAAAGACCAACCCAUUCCUCCUCCCCCACCUGCCGUCGGCGAUGCUGCCCCGCUUGCCCGUGCACCACCGCAGCCGCCGCCGGCCUCUGCACCACCUGCUCCCCUCCUUGCACCUAGUGCGCCUGCGCCCCUGCACCUGGCUAUUCCCACCACGACCCUGCUGCCGGCCUCUGUCCUCCAGACGAUCGACAUCCGCCGGCAUGUGUCCGUCACUCUCGACCUCCUCGCCGGCAACCACACCCAGUGGCGCCACUUCGACACGGCGAUCGCCAUGUUCGGCCUCCACGACCACAUCGACGCCAAGGCGGUUCCGCGCUUCGAUGACCCCGAGUGGGUGAUGGCGGACCACGCCGUCGUACAUUGGCUUAACACCACGUCUCGCCGAAGCUGCUUGAUGUUGUGA
rnacentral:rRNA from 1 species